CCCUACGGGAGGCAGCAGUGAGGAAUAUUGGUCAAUGGUCGGGAGACUGAACCAGCCAAGCCGCGUGUGGGAGGAAGGUACAGAGUAUCGUAAACCUCUUUUGUCAGGGAACAAAGGCGGGGACGUGUCCCCGGAUGAGUGUACCUGAAGAAAAAGCAUCGGCUAACUCCGUGCCAGCAGCCGCGGUAAUACGGAGGAUGCGAGCGUUAUCCGGAUUUAUUGGGUUUAAAGGGUGCGCAGGCGGUCUGUUAAGUCAGCGGUCAAAGCCCGGGGCUCAACCCCUGCCCGCCGUUGAAACUGGCAGG
rnacentral:rRNA from 1 species